rnacentral:lncRNA from 1 species
GCUUAGGUGCCAGGUCUGUGGCGACCGGGCGUGUGCAGGUGUGUGCGUGAGUGCAUGUUCGUUAGAGAUAGUCACGGGAUAGAUGUAGACGCUGGCGAUCCAUGCGGAUUCCAGCCGCGCCCGGUGCGUAGGAGCGCGUCGUGGGCGCAUGCGGAUCGUGGGGCGUGUACGUGCGCAUCGUGGGUGCGUGAGCAGCGCGUAUAAAACUCUCCCCGCUGUGUACUCUUUGUAAUGUGCUAGUGUGUUGAGUUGGAGCCAGCCAUGUAGACAUUGUAAAGGAGAAGAAAGAUUAGGGUGUGUGUGCGCCGACGGCAGCGUUCGUGCGCCGGCCCGUGAAAAUUUCUUGUGUCUUGUGUCUUCUUCUACCUCCGUCCAACCGUGAGAGGGAGAGGUAGCUAGGGUUGCCCUGUGUUGCAACAACAUUUGGUACCAUGAGCAUGGUGUCUUGGGCGUGCUUGCCGUGCCGGAGGCGUAGCAGCGAUGGCGGCGCUCGCCGGCGGCUACGCGAUGGAGCUCCGGACCGUGUGUCGGCCUCUGGAGGAGGGCGGCGCUGCAACUGUCAUGGCGCGUGGCGGAGGCGGCGGGCGGUGACGUCGUACGUGUGGCGACCGCGAAGGCCGCCGAGGGGCUGCGUGGUGGCUGCGGCGGCACGGUGAGGAGGCCGCGGAGGACCUGCAUGGUGGCGGCUUCAACGACGACAACGGCGCGACGAGCGCGUCACGGCGGCUCGGCGCGACAACGAUGGAGGCGCGUGGCACAGAGCCGCGGCGCUUGUGUCGGAUGCGCCAGGCGCGUGUAUGGGCAUGCGCCGGGCGUGUCAGGCGUGGCGGGGCCGUGGUGUAGGGUAGUCGUUGGCGAGUGGGGGUGUGCGCGUUGAGCUGGUCCAUCGCGGGCUCGCCGCGCCCAGACGUGUGCGUGCAUGUCGGAGGGGGCGCGGGCGGGACGGGCGCUCGACGUGGACUGGGACGUGGGUGCGUGCCCGGCGCAUCCCUAGGUAUAAACCCCCCGUGUACGUUGUAAUGGCAGUGCCCGGAGUUGAGUUCGAGCUCGAGGGAAUCAAGGCCGUCAGUGCGCCAGGUCGAGUCCGCGGCCGUGACGACGACAACGACGGAAGCUACACCAACUCCAGCAACGUCAGAUCAUGGCUUAGGGCGUGAAUGAUGGAAAUAAGCCAUGCUCAGGUUUGUGGUGACCGGCGAGUGUGCGCGUCCAAGCCAGGUCCGUGGUGAACCGGCGUGUGCGCUUAGGUGCAAGGUCUGUGGCGACCGGGCGUGUGCAGGUGUGUGCGUGAGUGCAUGUUCGUUAGAGAUAGUCACGGGAUAGAUGUAGACGCUGGCGAUCCAUGCGGGUUCCAGCCGCGCCCGGCGCGUAGGAGCGCGUCAUGGGCGCAUGCGGAUCGUGGGGCGUGUCCGUGCGCAUCGUGGGUGCGUGAGCAGCGCGUAUAAAUUAAACUCUCCCCGCUGUGUACUCUUUGUAAUGUGCUAGUGUGUUGAGUUGGAGCCAGCCAUGUAGACAUUGUAAAGGAGAAGAAAGAUUAGGGCGUGUGUGCGCCCACGUUGCGUUCAUGCGUCGGCCCGUGAAAAUUUCUUGUAUCUUGUGUCUUCUUCU